AGGACGAUAUGACGAGGUCUUCAACUCCGAUGUCCUCAAAAAGUGAGACCAGCAUCCACAAUUAUGCUGAGAUUAUGACACAAUUCCCAGAGCUGCCAGGACAAUGGUUUGAAUGUAGAGUGGAGGUUCCCCCAAAAGCAACAUCCCAGCUCUCACAGUUUUACAUCUCUGAGGACGAUAUGACGAGGUCUUCACCUCUGAUGUCCACAUCAAGUGAGAGCAGCAUGGAGGAAUA